CAAAAUUAAACUGUUUGAUUUCAACAAAGAAAUGUUCGAAAGAAUUGAAUGAUAGCUUCGAUGUGAUUAUGUACAUUUUCUUUGAUAAGUGAAUUAAUUUUGAGUUUGUUUUAGUGUGAUUUGAUUAUAUAUGUAUUAGUUCUUUCUAGUAUUUUGUUUUAAUAAGUUAUAUUUUUGUUGACUUUUUAUAAACGUAACCCAAACCAUUCAGAUAAGAUGUUUAAUAAGAUGGAUAAUGAAUAGUUGUAGAAGUCCUGUAAAGUUUAAUCCUACUAGUCGCAAAAGGAGAAAGCAUGAUAUUGUGUGAAAAAAAAUACACUGAAUGUCAAUGUUCCACCUCGGAGCACUCAAUAUGCAUGCGAGCGGUCGGGAAAAAGUAUUGUUGAAGUUUCGCAGAGAUUUGAUUUGCGACAGGGUGAUGCUACAACUAACUUCUCGUGAUAUUAUGCUUUCCUUGGAUGAAAUAGUUUUGUAUCAUCAGUGAUGUUACAAGACUUAAACCAGAUGGCAAAAUCGAUUUUAAAUUAGAAAUAAAACGCCAAAUAUGUGAUCAAUCUGAUCUGCAUGUUACUCCCAAUCUGGCACUUUUAUACGAUCUACAGCACUCGGUUCCCUCCUUGUACCUUGGAUAUGAAAAUGAGGUGUUUUGUGUUAAAAAGCACAGAGAACUACACAUACCGGUAAUCAAGUCGCCUGAACGUGUUGGCAGUCUUGUAAGGUGCGAUAAUGGAAGUAAUCAUCUAUCCAUGGUGGAGAUAAAAUGCUUCGCUGAGAGCAGCCUGAUACUACCACAGAGGUUGAUCCCUAAAAACAAUAUUCAAGCUUGAUACUGCCUGUAUUUAGAUUUUGAUAACUUUUAAACCGGAUUUUUUGUGACAAAAAUGUCGGUUAUUGAUUUGGGGAUGUACGACGGGCGGGCGGGCGGGCGGCAACCAAAUGUCCGUGCAUUUACUCAUGAACCGUUCAUCCAAAGCUUUUAAAAUUUUAAUAUGUUGUUACUGACAAUAAAAUGAAGGUCAAGUUCAAGAAUGACGAUUUUGACUUUUACCGUUCAGGAGUUAUGGUUCUUGAAAGAUUGAAAAAUGGUGUUACCAGUCAUGUCCGUGCAUUUACGCAUGAACUGUUCAACCAAAGC
rnacentral:lncRNA from 1 species